rnacentral:rRNA from 1 species
GACGAACGCUGGCGGCGUGCUUAACACAUGCAAUUCGAACGAUGAAGCCGGAGCUUGCUCCGGUGGAUUAGUGGCGAACGGGUGAGUAACACGUGAGCAAUCUGCCCUUGACUCUGGGAUAACUGCGGGAAACUGUAGCUAAUACCGGAUACGACACCUUGGGGCAUCCCAGGGUGUGGAAAGAACUUCGGUCAAGGAUGAGCUCGCGGCCUAUCAGCUAGUUGGUGAGGUAAUGGCUCACCAAGGCGAAGGCGGGUAGCCGGCCUGAGGGAGUGACCGGCCACACUGGAGCUGAGACACGGUCCAGACUCCGACGGGAGGCAGCAGUGGGGAAUAUUGCACAAUGGGCGAAAGCCUGAUGCAGCAACGCCGCGUGAGGGAUGAAGGCCUUCGGGUUGUAAACCUCUUUUAGCAGGGAAGAAGCGAAAGUGACGGUACCUGCAGAAAAAGCACCGGCUAACUACGUGCCAGCCGCCGCCGUAA